UAGAAUUCCACGUGUAGCGGUGAAAUGCGUAGAGAUGUGGAGGAAUACCGGUGGCGAAGGCGGCCUUCUGGACAGAUACUGACGCUGAGAUGCGAAAGCGUGGGGAGCAAACAGGAUUAGAUACCCUGGUAGUCCACGCUGUGAACGAUGUCGAUUUGGAGUUUGUUGCCUAGAGUGAUGGGCUCCGAAGCUAACGCGAUAAAUCGACCGCCUGGGGAGUACGGCCGCAAGGUUAAAACUCAAAUGAAUUGACGGGGGCCCGCACAAGCGGUGGAGCAUGUGGUUUAAUUCGAUGCAACGCGAAGAACCUUACCUGGUCUUGACAUCCACAGAAUCUUGCAGAGAUGCGAGGGUGCCUUCGGGAACUGUGAGACAGGUGCUGCAUGGCUGUCGUCAGCUCGUGUUGUGAAAUGUUGGGUUAAGUCCCGCAACGAGCGCAACCCUUAUCCUUUGUUGCCAUUGGUUCGGCCGGGAACUCAAAGGAGACUGCCGUUGAUAAAGCGGAGGAAGGUGGGGACGACGUCAAGUCAUCAUGGCCCUUACGACCAGGGCUACACACGUGCUACAAUGGCGUAUACAAAGGGAGGCGACCUCGCGAGAGCAAGCGGACCUCAUAAAGUACGUCUAAGUCCGGAUUGGAGUCUGCAACUCGACUCCAUGAAGUCGGAAUCGCUAGUAAUCGUGAAUCAGAAUGU
rnacentral:rRNA from 1 species